rnacentral:rRNA from 1 species
CUGGCUCAGGAUGAACGCUGGCGGCGUGCCUAACACAUGCAAGUCGAACGAAGCACUUCCGGUUUGAGAUUCGUCAGGAACUGGAUUUGACUUAGUGGCGGACGGGUGAGUAAUGUAUGAGCAACCUGCCUUUCAGAGGGGGACAACAGUUGGAAACGACUGCUAAUACCGCAUAAUGUAUUUUGGGGGCAUCCCCGAGAUACCAAAGGAGCAAUCCGCUGAAAGAUGGGCUCAUAUCUGAUUAGUUAGUUGGCAGGGUAACGGCCUACCAAGACUGCGAUCAGUAGCCGGACUGAGAGGUUGAACGGCCACAUUGGGACUGAGAUACGGCCCAGACUCCUACGGGAGGCAGCAGUGGGGAAUAUUGGGCAAUGGGCGAAAGCCUGAACCCCAGCAACGCCGCGUGAAGGAAGAAGGUCUUCGGAUUGUAAACUUCUUUUAUGAGGGACGAAGGACGUGACGGUACCUCAUGAAUAAGCCACGGCUAACUACGUGCCAGCAGCCGC